rnacentral:rRNA from 1 species
AUUGAACGCUGGCGGCAGGCCUAACACAUGCAAGUCGAGCGGAUGAAGGGAGCUUGCUCCUGGCUUCAGCGGCGGACGGGUGAGUAAUGCCUAGGAAUCUGCCUGGUAGUGGGGGAUAACGUCAGGAAACGGGCGCUAAUACCGCAUACGUCCUGAGGUAGAAAGUGGGGGAUCUUCGGACCUCACGCUAUCAGAUGAGCCUAGGUCGGAUUAGCUAGUUGGUGGGGUAAAGGCCUACCAAGGCGACGAUCCGUAACUGGUCUGAGAGGAUGAUCGGUCACACUGGAACUGAGACACGGUCCAGACUCCUACGGGAGGCAGCAGUGGGGAAUAUUGGACAAUGGGCGAAAGCCUGAUCCAGCCAUGCCGCGUGUGUGAAGAAGGUCUUCGGAUUGUAAAGCACUUUUAGUUGGGAGGAAGAGCAGUAAAUUAAUCCCUUGCUGUUUUGACGUUACCAACAGAAUAAGCACCGGCUAACUUCGUG